CCUACGGGAGGCAGCAGUGAGGAAUAUUGGUCAAUGGCCGUAAGGCUGAACCAGCCAAGUCGCGUGAAGGAAGAAGGAUCUAUGGUUUGUAAACUUCUUUUAUAGGGGAAUAAAGGUAUCCACGUGUGGAUAUUUGCAUGUACCCUAUGAAUAAGCAUCGGCUAACUCCGUGCCAGCAGCCGCGGUAAUACGGAGGAUGCGAGCGUUAUCCGGAUUUAUUGGGUUUAAAGGGUGCGUAGGUUGGUUUUUAAGUCAGCGGUGAAAGUUUGUGGCUCAACCAUAAAAUUGCCGUUGAAACUGGAAGACGUGAGUGUGUUUGAGGUAGGCGGAAUGCGUGGUGUAGCGGUGAAAUGCAUAGAUAUCACGCAGAACUCCGAUUGCGAAGGCAGCUUACUAAGCCAUAACUGACACUGAAGCACGAAAGCGUGGGGAUCAAACAGGAUUAGAUACCCUAGUAGUC
rnacentral:rRNA from 1 species